UACGAAGGGUGCAAGCGUUAGUCGGAAUUACUGGGCGUAAAGCGCGCGUAGGUGGUUCAGCAAGUUGGAUGUGAAAUCCCCGGGCUCAACCUGGGAACUGCAUCCAAAACUACUGAGCUAGAGUACGGUAGAGGGUGGUGGAAUUUCCUGUGUAGCGGUGAAAUGCGUAGAUAUAGGAAGGAACACCAGUGGCGAAGGCGACCACCUGGACUGAUACUGACACUGAGGUGCGAAAGCGUGGGGAGCAAACAGG
rnacentral:rRNA from 1 species